GUUGUGUGCAAUGAUGACAAUUUUUUUCCCCGUCAUAUCGAUAAAUGCUGAAAAAUCUAAUAUUUUCAAGCCAGUUUCACUGAGCACACAAC